GUCUAUGGCCAUACCACCCUGAACACACUUGCUCUCAUCUGAUCUUGAAGGCUAAGCAGGGUUGGGCCUGUUUCAUACUUGGAUGGGAGACUCCUGGGAAUACUAGGUGCUGUUGUAGGCU
ensembl:rRNA 5S_rRNA 5S ribosomal RNA